rfam:Deltaproteobacteria bacterium RBG_13_52_11 RBG_13_scaffold_1681, whole genome shotgun sequence.
GGGCGAUUAGCUCAGUUGGAUAGAGCGUUGGCCUCCGGAGCCAAAGGUCCCGGGUUCGAAUCCCGGAUCGCUCG